UGGCCAUACCAUGCUGAAAGCACCGGUUCUCGUCCGAUCAUCAAAGUUAAGCAUCAAAGUGCACGGUCAGUACUUGGAAGGGUGACAGCCUGGGUGAGCCCUCGUGU